rnacentral:rRNA from 1 species
UACAGAGGGUGCGAGCGUUGUUCGGAAUUAUUGGGCGUAAAGGGCUCGUAGGCGGUUUGUCGCGUCGGGAGUGAAAACUCAGGGCUUAACCCUGAGCCUGCUUCCGAUACGGGCAGACUAGAGGUAUGCAGGGGAGAACGGAAUUCCUGGUGUAGCGGUGAAAUGCGCAGAUAUCAGGAGGAACACCGGUGGCGAAGGCGGUUCUCUGGGCAUUACCUGACGCUGAGGAGCGAAAGUGUGGGGAGCGAACAGG